GUGGGGAAUAUUGGACAAUGGGCGAAAGCCUGAUCCAGCCAUGCCGCGUGUGUGAAGAAGGUCUUCGGAUUGUAAAGCACUUUAAGUUGGGAGGAAGGGCAGUAAGUUAAUACCUUGCUGUUUUGACGUUACCGACAGAAUAAGCACCGGCUAACUUCGUGCCAGCAGCCGCGGUAAUACGAAGGGUGCAAGCGUUAAUCGGAAUUACUGGGCGUAAAGCGCGCGUAGGUGGUUUUGUACGUUGGAGGUGAAAUCCCCGGGCUCAACCUGGGAACUGCCUCCAAAACUGCAUGACUAGAGUACGGUAGAGGGUAGUGGAAUUUCCUGUGUAGCGGUGAAAUGCGUAGAUAUAGGAAGGAACACCAGUGGCGAAGGCGACUACCUGGACUGAUACUGACACUGAGGUGCGAAAGCGUGGGGAGCAAACAGGAUUAGAUACCCGUGUAGUCC
rnacentral:rRNA from 1 species